rnacentral:rRNA from 1 species
UACGUAGGGUGCAAGCGUUGUCCGGAAUUAUUGGGCGUAAAGAGCUUGUAGGCGGUUUGUCGCGUCGUCCGUGAAAACCAGUGGCUUAACCAUUGGCUUGCGGGCGAUACGGGCAGACUUGAGUAUUGCAGGGGAGACUGGAAUUCCUGGUGUAGCGGUGAAAUGCGCAGAUAUCAGGAGGAACACCGGUGGCGAAGGCGGGUCUCUGGGCAGUAACUGACGCUGAGAAGCGAAAGCGUGGGUAGCGAACAGG